rnacentral:rRNA from 1 species
CACGGGGGGAGCGAGCGUUGUUCGGAAUCACUGGGCGUAAAGGGCGUGUAGGCGGCCAGGUAAGUGGGCUGUGAAAUGCCUCGGCUUACCCGAGGAUCGGCAAUCCAAACUGCCUGGCUUGAGUACGGGAGAGGAUGAGGGAAUUCCUGGUGUAGCGGUGAAAUGCGUAGAUAUCAGGAGGAACACCGGUGGCGAAGGCGCUCAUCUGGCCCGAUACUGACGCUGAGGCGCGAAAGCUAGGGGAGCAAACGGG